AUGGAGAAAGUCAAAGAACCGAAAGCAAAUUGGGACAGUGCUGCUCAUACAAUUUUUAUGAAUGCGUGCGUAGAGGAGGUUCGAGCAAAUAACCGCAACGGUGGUUAUUUGUCGGACAUAGGACAAGCUAAUUUGCAUAAAAAGUUCAACGAACGCUCUGGAAGAAACUAUUCGACUCGGCAAAUCAAAAAUAGGUGGGGUCUAUGUAGAAGCGAGUACAACACAUGGAAGACAUUGAUCCAACAAGCAUCUGGCUUAGGAAGACAUGAGCAUACACACACUAUUGCAGCUACAAAUGAGUGGUGGGCAUUGGAGAUAAAGGUAUUGUUGUUGUCAUGUAAUUUCUUAAAUAACGAGUCAUGUUGCUUCGGUUUUGAUAUUAACCUGUGGUGCUAUAUGAUUACAGGCACAUCCAGAAGCUAUUUGCAUUGGAGAUGUACUGUUAUCUGA
rnacentral:rRNA from 1 species